AUCCCUACGGGGGGCAGCAGUAGGGAAUAUUGCUCAAUGGGGGAAACCCUGAAGCAGCAACGCCGCGUGGAGGAUGAAGGUUUUCGGAUUGUAAACUCCUUUUGUUAGAGAAGAUAAUGACGGUAUCUAACGAAUAAGCACCGGCUAACUCCGUGCCAGCAGCCGCGGUAAUACGGCGGGUGCAAGCGUUCCUCGGAAUCACUGGGCGUAAAGAGCUCGUAGGCGGGAUAGCAAGUCAGAUGUGAAAUCCUAUGGCUUAACCAUAGCACUGCAUUUUAAACUGUUAUUCUAGAGUAUGUGUGAGG
rnacentral:rRNA from 1 species